rnacentral:lncRNA from 1 species
GGGAAGUUAUCUUUUUUGUUUCCAGGACACUGUCCAGAAGAGUCACUCCAACUCAGACAUUUCUUCCUCUCAUGUCCAAUUGCCCUGAAUGUCUCAGGAAGUGGGAGUUUUUGAGGUGGCUACUAGGUAGGACCCUUUAUAGAUCUCUGUGGUCACCGAUGCGUCUAUACUGGGUGACUUCUCCAGACAUCAUUGCAUUCUUCCAAUUUUACUGGGUGUGCACUGGUUGUUAAGGGAGAAUCUUCAGAGCUAGAGCAAA